rnacentral:rRNA from 1 species
UGGCGGCAGGCCUAACACAUGCAAGUCGAGCGGCAGCGCGGGGGCAACCCUGGCGGCGAGCGGCGGACGGGUGAGGAAUUCGUCGGAAUCUGCCUUUUUGUGGGGGAUAACGUAGGGAAACUUACGCUAAUACCGCAUACGACCUACGGGUGAAAGUGGGGGACCUUCGGGCCUCACGCAGAAAGAUGAGCCGACGACCGAUUAGCUAGUUGGUAGGGUAAAGGCCUACCAAGGCGACGAUCGGUAGCUGGUCUGAGAGGAUGAUCAGCCACACUGGGACUGAGACACGGCCCAGACUCCUACGGGAGGCAGCAGUGGGGAAUAUUGGACAAUGGGCGCAAGCCUGAUCCAGCCAUGCCGCGUGUGUGAAGAAGGCCUUCGGGUUGUAAAGCACUUUUGUCCGGAAAGAAAUCUUGUAGCUUAAUACGCUGCAAGGAUGACGGUACCGGAAGAAUAAGCACCGGCUAACUUCGUGCCAGCAGCCGCGGUAAUA